UUAAACGCAAAAUCAGAGGAACCCUAAGCCUUUAACACGCUCUACCUUCUCCUUCCUCCAAAACCCAGACCACGCUUUGCCGUUCCCCCACACGCAAACACAACACCGCGUUCUUCUUCUCAUCAGUCAGUCAAACUCAAAACUCAACACCAUGACCCCAAAAUCCCUCUUCUUCUUCUCCACCACCCUCGCUCUUCUCAUCCUCCUCAUACCCAUCUCUGCCCAAAUCUCCGACCCGAACCCGAAACCGACCCAAUCCCUUUCUGCGGCCCACACUGAGCUCACCAACUAUGGCUUCCCAGUCGGACUCUUACCCUCCUCAGUCCAUGGCUACUCCAUAAACAAGACCUCCGGCGACUUCUCCGUCGAGCUCGACGGCGACUGCAAGAUCACUCUCCCGCCGGACAACUACCUCGCCACCUAUUCCAGGACAGUCAGGGGAAAGAUCGUUUCGGGUAAGAUCGCUAAGCUCGACGGGAUUCGGGUCCGUGCGUUGUUCAGGUGGUGGUCCAUCACCGGGAUCCGAUCCACCGGCGAAGACUUGGUGUUCGAGGUCGGCAUGGUCAGCGCCAAUUACCCCUCCAAGAACUUCAACGAGAGCCCCGAUUGUGAAGGUAAACACUCCUCUUCGUGAGUGAGCGAGUGAGGUAUGAAUUCAAAUCCCAAUUCAAUUCGCUCUUAAUUAGGGUUUUGAAUUGAUCAGAGAAAUUCGAGACUAAAGUAUGUGUUGUGCGUUAUGAUUAGUAUUGAAUUAACAUCUCUGAGUGAUAAUUCUUAAUUAGUAAUUAUUGAUUUAAAAUAUAAAAAUUGAUUGAAUCGAAUUGUGCUCUAUGUAUCUCGAUUAUUCCUGAAUAUUCUGUAUAGCACGAGCAAAAUAAAAUAGUUGCUGUCUUUUUUGAUUUUGUUUUAAUUUUAGUUUACUAGGCAUCUGUUUGUAUCGAAUAUGUUCUUUUCCAGAUUAAUUCCCUCUAAGGUAUUAGCCCAAACUGCCGACUCUUCCAAAGAAGGUAAUUCUUUUCUCUCUUUACGAUUAAAUCCGUUAGCACAAAUCGCAUUAGAUAUCUGUGAAACGUUUUAACUUUUAUUUAUUUUUACUAAUUCGUUAAUGUUUGAAUUGCUUUUCAGUUUGAUUAAAACUGCCGACUCUUCCAAAGAAGCUGAUUGAUAUAAAGCUUCCAAAGUAUUUUCACGAUCAGACAAACUUAACCAAAUUGAGCAUCUGUUUGGGUGUGGAGGAAAAAAACAAUGGAAGCACAAUCAAUUGUGAAGCUCAAGAACACAGUGUGAGCAGCUACACGUUGCAGAGAAAUCGAGGUAUCCACAAGCCAGUCAAAGUUGAUGACAGCCCUUCAAUGAUAGCUGAAAAUGGUGUGAGUAGCUCCAGCUUGUGCGAGCAUGAAAAAGUAUUGCAGGCACUGCGGACCGCUCAUGCAACAGCAGGAUAUAUUAAUGCUGCGAUGCAGAGAGCUCCCAGGAUCUCAGGCAGAGUUAUUCAAGCACAGAUGGAUACAGCAUUUACUAAUUCUAAGAUGCAGAGAAUUCGUGGGAACUCAGGCACAGUUAAGGUGGAGAGAGAUGGAUUUCUCAGCAAGUCAGAAGACAAAGCUGGCAGAACUUUGAUGAUAGCAACAAGCAUGGAUCCUGAUUUGUACAAGGCUAUAACAAAUAGGGACAUUGAUUUAAUCCAAAAAAGAAGGCAUGAUAUGGAACUUUCUCCUCUCUAUGACAAAACCCCUGAAUUGAAUACAAUCCUUCAUCUUGCUGCUGCAAGCUCAGACGAUGAAGAGUUUGUACAAGCAAUCCUCAGGAUCCAACUGUGCCAAAAAUUUGUCACAGAAAAGAACUCCAGCGGCAACCUUCCUCUUCAUGAAGCAGUAAAUGCUGGCCAUCUACAUAUAGUGAAACUUUUGGUCAUAUGGACUUACCAGCAGCUGCAAGAUCACUCUACUGGACCAUUGAGGGAGAAAAAUAAGGAGGAUAAUACUCCUCUUUACCUGCCCUUAAUUAACAAAUACCAAGCUGUGGGUUGUAACUUGGCCUUGGAAUCCAAGUACAAUGAAAUGGCCAAGUUCUUUGUACUUGGAUUGAUUUAUAGUUUUGGAUUGAUUUAUGACUAUUAUGCUACUAUUUUAAAGUUGAGUAUGGACAUUUUUAGUAAUGUUCACUUUCAUUAAGUGUUGUUUCUUUUACAUGUA